UGGAUAACCUUGCACAGAAAAAAUGGCAUUCAGAGUUUGCUUACUUCAACCUCCAUUCUCUGAUUUGAACUGCUCUUCUUCUCCUUCUUGUCAACGCGGAACUGCUUUUCUGCCUCGUGCUUACACCCCAUCCCGCAGGCUCGCUCUCCUGCAUCUCAGCACUGCUAUCUCUCAGACACAGCUAUUUGAUGCAAAAGCACUGCAAUCACUCAAUGCUGAGAGGGAGGUAAUAGAGACUGGAACAGCUGCAGAUAUAGCACGUGCUAUGGUUGAGGAAAAUGUGUUGGACUGGACCAAAAAGGACAAAAGAAGGAUGCUCCAUGUUGUCUAUCGUGUUGGGAAUUUAGACAAGACAAUAAAAUUCUACACAGAGUGUCUGGGCAUGAAGUUGCUGAGGAGACGUGACAUUCCAGAGGACAGAUAUUCAAAUGCUUUUCUUGGCUUUGGUCCUGAAGAAACAAAUUUUUCUAUGGAACUUACAUACAACUACGGAAUUGACAAGUAUGACAUUGGAACUGGUUUUGGACAUUUUGGUAUUGCAGUUGAGGAUGUUGCAAGAACAGUUGACCUCGUAAAAGUUAAGGGAGGCAAGGUUACCCAAGAACCGGGUCCUGUCAAAACUGGAAGCCCUGCAAUUGCAUAUGUCGAAGAUCCCGAUGGCUACCCUAUUGAACUUUUGGAGAGGAGUCCUACUCCUGAGCCCCUAUGUCAAGUAAUGCUCCGUGUAGGGGAUCUUGACCGUGCUAUUAAUUUCUAUAAGAAGGCUUUUGGCAUGGACCUUCUUCGUAAAAAAGAUAAACCUGAAAAUAAAUGUACUAUAGCCAUCAUGGGUUAUGGCCCUGAAGACAAAAAUGUAGUCGUGGAAUUGACAUAUAACUAUGGUGUUAAAGAAUACGACAAAGGAAAUGGUUAUGCUCAGAUUGCAAUAGGCACAAAUGAUGUCUACAAGACUGCAGAAGUAAUAAAACUUUGUGGAGGGGAAAUUACACUUGAACCUGGACCCUUGCCUGGCAUCAAUACAAAGAUCACAGCUUGUGUUGAUCCGGAUGGUUGGAAAGCUGUAUUUGUUGAUAAUAGUGAUUUUCUGAAGGAACUAGAGUGAAAAUAUACAAGCCCUGUAAUAACAGUCAAGUCCUACUCUAUUUUUUUAAAGACACCGUUUACAAGAACAGUUUUUCAAAGAUCACCAAAGGAAAGCAUUGUCAUGCCAGUUUUCAAUAUGUACUUCAUCGUUUCUUAUUUCUUCUCUUUUAAUAUUUAAUUUUGGUGGCACUAUUUCAGAAAAGUUACAGUUGAGUCUUUCUCAAUGAGAGAUUUCUCACUUUAAACUCAAGUCAUCUUCAUUUGGCAAGACAACAUAUGUUGGAUCCCAUCUACCCACAUCUGUUUUUCUCCUUUGUUUCUGCAUUCAAACUCAAUUAUCCUGUCAACAGUUUGUAUCCCGAAGUAGGCUCUAUGCUCGUGUGCUUCUUCCUCUCGUCCCGGCCAUGCUGGAUUUGUUCCUGAUCGGCUCCCAUAUCCUCAGCAAUUUCAAUGCAAUGAGAUGCAACCAGAGCUGCUGCGGAUGCAAUUGCAGUUGAUACGUUUGAAGAUGGCUUCUGUUGGGUUCCAGAUCGCUCGGGAGAGGUUACUAACGAGGUUGCAAUAGCUGCUACCGCUGCAGCGACCCCUGCCACCGACACUGCUGCAUGCACCUGGGCGUUGUGACUUCUAAGCUCUUGCUUUUUCCUUUGCUUUUGAUCUUUCAACCAUCUCCCCAUUGUCUUGCUCCUCGCGACACUUUUGCAGAGCUGCUGCAUAAACAGAUAUGAAGAUGUUGACUGGCAAGGAAUUCCGGGUUGAGUGCUUGAUGGAGCAAAAGGAAUUCCUGCAUGGACCAAACAGGCUUUUCAAAGUUGGGUUGCCUAACACCAAAUGGUUUGUGAGCAUGAGUGGAAUCUACUUUGGUAUGGGAAAGAGCUUUGGAGAGUUCAGUUGCGGAUACACUCCACGCCCUGGCUAGGAACUCCAUGGACUCGGUAGGAGUUUCUGGCGGGGGGCAUGUGGAGGGCGACCAACUCGCUUCACAUUCUUCCCUGAUUCCCUCCAGCUUUAGCGACACUGUGACAAUCAAGCACACAAGACAGCACCGUUUUGUUUCUUUGAAGCCAAGGUACUGAUGGUGAAGGGCAGGUGCAACCUGAUAUUUAACACUGUCGUGGACAGAAAAAGAGGGAAAAAUGGCAUUAAGUGGGAGAGUGGAAGUACAUUUUUUUUCUGGUAAAGAGGAAAAUUAGCAACCACUAUCUUAAGGUUUGCACUGGGUACAUCCUGCCUUGUAACCCUAGCUGACAAAGGAUCACAAACAAGUAAACCAGUUUAAGUUGUCCAUAGCUGACCAGUUCAAACCAAGAGAGUUGGGAUACAAACUCAUGACCUUUUGUUACAAGUUUAUAUCCUUAGUUAUCUUGGCUGGGAUCACCCGAGUGGAAUUGCAUUUUGUAUGUAUGUAUUGCAGUGAGAGGCCCCUCUGCUAAAGUUGAGUAAUCUGUGUCUCCAA